GGGAACCUUAUGAGUCACCAUAAGAGUGGAAAUAUACCUGAGUUCUUGUCCUAAUGGUCUCUAAUUCACAUUGGAUCAUGGGCAAAUCACCUCACCUCUCUGAGCCUGUUCCCUCCUCUUAGACCAUCUCUAAGACCAUUUAAUCUAUUUACACAUCAUUUGCUUGAACAUUGCUGAACAUCAGUGUGAACUUGGCUUCUCCAGCCCUUGCAGGUGGAAACAACUAUGUCAAGGCUCAAGGCUCAUGCUGAGGGGACUUGGAGGGAGGGGGCUUCUGCAUUAAGCUUUCCUGGUGAAGACCCUUGAUCUUGUCCAAAGCCCUGUGUCUUUGACUGGCUUCUCUUCAGAGUCCCCAUUGUCAUCGUAAGAUCCUUGCUAUUCUGAGGGUGGUCUUGUGACUGUGGCAGGUGCUGGCCGCUGGAAUGAGGAGCCUAUCUCCAUCCUCCAGUGUGACUCAGGCAGAGCAUUGAGAAUUCCCAGGGCAGAAAUCCUUCCUGCUCAGGCUUUCAUUCUAAAACUACAGUCUCCAUUAAAGCUGAACUUUCUGGGUAGCUAAGCUUAUAUGCCCGGCAUCUGAAUGAGAGCUCUCUUUGUAACUGUGGGACUGGAGAUCUAUUUUGCCAGCUCCUGAGAAACAAUACACGUGUUCUUGUUUGUGUUUGCUCGGCAAGCAGAUGUCUGAGAUGUAAGAGGCUUUUCUUUUCCUGUGCCAUUGAUUCCGACUUAGAGCUGAAGUAAAGAUCACUGAAACAUCACGUCAAGUUGAAGUCACUCAUAGGUCUUUGUCCUUUAGGCAGGACAGGAGAGUCAUUAAGAAGCAUUUCACUGUAGCAUUCUGUCACAAUAUCAUCUGGAAUUGUUUUCUUUGCCCAGAAAGCCUUAACUUGCCUCUAGAGAAUCCCUGGUAUUACAACAAUAUUGUGGCAUUAGAAUUCAAAUUCUUCUGCUGUGGAAGUUUGAAGCGAAACUGCAGCAAAACCAGAGAAUUUCCUUAAGUGGACUGAGGCUCCUUGUUAUCUUAUGCUCCCAUCCCUCCCUCAACAAUAUGAGUGAUCCAGAACUGGCCCAAACACCUCAGCUCUGGCCCCUUUUUACCCUUCUUGGCCUUACUCUGCUGUUCAAAGCCACUUUGGAUUGCUUGGAUGCUUUGAAAAGCCAUGAAAAGUAGCCUGCCUGUGGCAUUUAGAGGCCAAGCAAUUGAUGGAAAGUGUUUCUUCUACCUCUGUUAUCUAAGCAGAGGGAAGUAAACCCCUUACGCCCCUACUGCCCCCAGUUGCCCUAGAAUUGCUUUUGCCAAAUUGUAGUUGAAGCUAAGGAAGGGGGAUCUGGCCCCUGCUGACAGAGGGAACUGGAAUGCCACACAAGGCAAGGCCUGCUUCCUUCCCGUCUCUGCUGCUGCUACCUCCGAAUGCUGCAGCCCAGGCUUCCUCUUACAGUGGCCCUUGGAAGUAGGCCGCAGAGUAGACAGCUGCUUCUUUUGGAAGAGUCAGUCCCCCGUGUUUUCUGAACUGUUUUUCCUAGCAUGUAUGUGGGUAGAGCUUUCAUGCAUCUCCAAUAAUAAGAAGCUGAAGUUAGUUUUUUUUUAUUCUCCAAUUUAAAACUUUUAUUUAAAAAGUAAACUAUUAUUAAUGUCGAAAAUGCAAACUUGGGGAGAGCAAAAAGAUCACACAUAAGGCUGUCACUUCACACUUGGAGGGUUGCACAGCAGCCGGGCAGAGGCGCUUCUCACUUCCCAGACGGGGCAGCGGGCGGCAGAGACGCACCUCACUUCCCAGAUGGUGGGUGGCCAGGCAGAGGCGCACCUCACUUCCCAGAUGGUGGGUGGCCAGGCAGAGGCGCUCCUCACUUCCCAGAUGGGGCAGCAGCCAGGCAGAGGCGCACCUCACUUCCCAGAUGGUGGGUGGCCAGGCAGAGGCGCACCUCACUUCCCAGAUGGUGGGUGGCCAGGCAGAGGCGCUCCUCACUUCCCAGAUGGGGCAGCAGCCAGGCAGAGGCGCACCUCACUUCCCAGAUGGUGGGUGGCCAGGCAGAGGCGCACCUCACUUCCCAGAUGGUGGGUGGCCAGGCAGAGGCGCUCCUCACUUCCCAGACAGUGCAGCAGCCAGGCAGAGACGCACCUCACUUCCCAGACAGUGCAGCAGCCAGGCAGAGACGCACCUCACUUCCCAGACAGUGCAGCAGCCAGGCAGAGGCGUGCCUCACUUCCCAGAUGGUGGGUGGCCAGGCAGAGGCGCUCCUCACUUCCCAGAAGGUACAGUGGCCGGACAGAGACACUCCUCACUUCCCAGACAGGGCAGGGGCCGGGCAGAGGUAUGCCUCACUUCCAAGAUGGUGGGACAGCUGGGCAGAGGCGCUCCUUGCUUCCCAGAGGGUGGGCAGCCAGCCAGGAAGAACGCUCCUCACUUCCCAGAGGGUGGGCGGCCAGACAGGCGCGCUUCUCACUUCCCAGAUGGGCAGCCCCCAGGCAGAGGCCCUCCUCACUUCCCAGACGGGGCAGGGGCCUGGCAGAAGCGCUCCUCACUUCCCAGAGGGUGGGCGGCCAAGCAGAAAGGCUUCUCACUUCCCAGACGGGAUAGGGGCUUGGCAGAGGCGCUCCCCACUUCCCAGAACAAUUCUUUAUGAAUUUCAUAAAGGAUUGAAUGUGCAACUGAAACCUGCUAGUGAUGAUCUGGUAAUAUACAAUUUGUCCAGUAGCCAAACAGUUUGUUUUUAUUGUGUUUUCUAACCGUAAGAGAUCAUUAAACGCAAAGCCUAUACGGCACUGUACACACACAAAAGAAAAUGGUCACCGCAGGCCAUACUACCAAUGAAAUGGUAGGUAAACGAAUCUUUUUCUGGUCAAGAAAAAAAAAAAGAAAUAGCACUUUGUAUGCUUCACUCUACAAGAUGAAUUUCACUAGAAAGAAUCCAAUGAAGGCCGGGCAUGGUGGCUCCCGCCUGUAAUCCCAGCACUUUGGAGACCAAGGCAGGUGGAUCGCCUGAGGUUAGGAGUUCGAGACCAACCUGGCCAACAUGGUGAAACCCCGUCUCUACUAAAAAUGCAAAAAUUAGCUGGGUGUGGUGGUGGGCGCCUGUAAUCCCAGCUACUAGGGAGGCUGAGGUGGGAGAAUUGCUUGAACCCAGGAGACAGGUUGCAGUGAGCCGAGAUCAUGCCACUGCACUCCAGCCUGGGGGACAAGAGUGAGACUCCGUCUCCAAAAGACAAAGAAUCCAAUGAAAAUGGCUGCAAUUACAACAAGAAGUGAAGGAAGAGGACUGGUGACAUCUCUGAAGGAUGCAGUUGAGGCUGAUCCAGGUUUAUCCAAAUGUGCUACCUUUCUGAGCCUUAAACCUUCAUCUCUCAGGUGUCGAUUUUCUUCUGAUAGCUUCAUCAUUUCUCCCUGAAGUCUUUUACACUCUUCUGUUAGUUUCCUUGUUGCGGUGUCAUUAAGUGAAACACUGUGUGGUUUUGGCAUGGGUCCAUCUUGUUCAGAUGCAUUCAGUGGAACAGCUUUGCUAGGUUCCAUGUCAUUCAAUUUAUCAUUUUCAUUGGGCAUUUCAAAUACACAUCUCAAUUUGGAAUCCAUUAAUUCGUCAGGUUUUGCCUCUUUCCACACAACUUCCAUAUCUGAAGUGUUCAGUGGAGCAAAAAUUGUACCAUACACUUGUGUUUACUCUUUUCAUUCGGAUCAUAGUCAAAGGGCUGUAGCAUUACUGAAACAGUCACAGUUGACCCUGGGUCAAUAAUUCCACUGUUGGGCCUCACACAGUACCGGUGAGGCGCUGUAGUCUUCAGUUUGAAACACACUUUUCUAUCCGAUGGAUUUCGCAAUUUAAGAUUUAUAGUGACUACAUCUGUGAAGGGGCCUUUGAAUUUGAGGUCUGUGGGCAGGUCGAGGACCAGGAUCUGCUCGUGCUUCGCCAUGGCCCCGGAGGUGGACGCCAUCAGAGAGACAGCACAGAGCAGCGAGGCGGUUUGCUCGCUGGGGGCGGGGGACGAUGGCGAGGGGGGAGGGGGAGCGAGUUUGCAUCUCUCCUUUUCCUGGUUAGUCUCUGUUCAACCACAUUCUUAUGUUGGCAGAUCUGCUUCCCAAUUGACUUUUUGAGAACCAUCACUUUCACAUUCCUAAUUCUGAUUUUGUUUUGUUUUGUUUUGUUUGGGUUUCUGAAACUUAAAAUGCUGCCCUGAAAAUACUAUAUUUUUGAGUUUGUGUUCUGAAAGCCUCUGUGCUGCUGGAUCUUUGGGGGGGAAAUACAGGAUCCUUCAGCAUUGAGGUGUUUAAGAUUUGCAACUAGCAAUGCAAUUUUUUCUAAAUAUGGGGAUAUUUACCUUUAAUAAGAAAUUAUACUAAACAAUGAUGUCCUUGAUCAUUUUAUGUGCUCAUAUUACUUUCGAUUCUACUAUGAUUGUGUGGUGGUGAACAAAGAUCAUUACAAACAAAAACUGUAAUUUUGUUAUAUUUGAUUCAAUGGAAUUUACUUAAAAAAUAAAGACUAAAAAUGUG